CAGCUGGGUCGGUCAGUCAGUCGGUCGGUCGGUCGAUCUGUCGGUCGGUCGGUCGGUUGGUUUUUU
rnacentral:miRNA from 1 species